GCAGCAGGUCGGUCUGUCGCUGCAAACUGUCGUUUGCAGAGGAAAGUCCGGACUACAAAGAGCAACGUGCUUCCUAACGGGAAGAUACUCGUGAGGGUAUUUCAGCGUAACAGAAAAUAACCGUUCCGGCUUGCCGGAAUAAGGGUGAAAAGGUGAGGUAAGAGCUCACCGGUUCCGGUGGUGACAUCGGAAGCCGUACGUCACACGUGUUGCAAGACCAUGUAUACCCCGGUUUCUUUAUAGAAGCAGGGUUGCUCGCCCUGUUGAUUCCAGCCGGGGAGGGUAGGUCGCUGGAGAUUGUGGGUGACUGCAAUCCUAGAUAAAUGACAGACACUGUUAAUCAGUACAGAAUCCGGCUUACAGACUUGCUGCUUUU
rfam:Alkalitalea saponilacus strain DSM 24412 genome assembly, contig: LV88DRAFT_scaffold00004.4